GUGAGUCAUCGAAUCUUUGAACGCACAUUGCGCCUCUCGUAACUGGGAGGCAUGCCUGUCUGAGCUUCAUUUAAACCUAUAAACCCAAUUGGGUUUGUUUUGGGCCUCGCCCUUGGGCGUCGCCUAGAAAUCAUCUGUCUUAUGAGCGGACGAGAUCCAUUAGGACUGACCGCAGAUGGGACCCUAAACUCUGAUUUGAACUCAGAUCAGGUAGGACUACCGCCUGAACUUAAGCAUAUCAAUAAGCGGAGGA
rnacentral:misc_RNA from 1 species